CUGAUAAAGCAGCUUGGAAAGUUUACAAAUCAAAUAAAUCAGUAAAACAGAUAUUUUAAACCGAGUAAUAUCUUAAUACCACACUCUCCUUCUCUUCAUUUCAGGUACCGCAAACUGUAUAACAGAGAGUCCAGAGCAUGGAGUUUGUGGGGCCUUUAUGGUGUACGUUUUUUUUUAAAUAGUAGUGUAAUGAAAAAACACAUGUAUAAAACCGCAUUUACAUAUAGAUAAAUAGCAUUUUUAAAAAGCACUUCAAUAUUCUCCCAACACAAGAACUGGGAAUCACUACUCUGAGCCCCUACGCUUCAUAAUGGCAGAUCACAAACUGUCUAUAUGUAGCAAACCAGGACUACUAGUUACCCUCUCUAAGACCAGGGCUGUCUGCAAUAGCUCCCAAGUUCCAGAACCUUCUAGCCAGCCUGUCCAUCCAUAUUUGGUGGACACAGCUCAUCCAGAUUCAGUCUUUUAAUACAGGCCUAGGAAUGCAAAAAUCAGAAAACCACAGUCUUAUAUUUAGAAAUGGUUUUCUCUCAUCUUAUGUCUGUGAAAUUAUCACAUUAGUCAUGCAUACCUGAUCAUCUGCCACUCUCCGUGCUUGAUGCUCUCCACAUGGGUAAGUUCCUCCAGUGCUAAAGCACAGGGACCUUGGUCUCUUUGUUGAUCUCUCCCCCGGUCUCUGCCACGGCCCGGAGCCUAGGCUUUGCUGUCUGGCUUGUGGUGGCCUGCCUCUUGGACCUUCUCUAACCUUGCUGUGACUGGGGCUGGGGUGUAUUCAUCCUCACAGUCAGGACUAUGUUCCUGAAAAAGUGCUAGAUAGCAUUGUAUUGUUUUUAACUUGCCACAGUCUGCUUCUGUAAGCCUGUAGGCAGGAAAGCUAGCUGCUGUGGCUAUACUGGCAAACUGGAGAGGGUCUCUCGCCCCCUGCACCUGUGGACGCAUGAGCUCCAGGACAAGUCGCUCCAGGGUCUUCAUCACGUGGGAGGUGAGGACGACUGGCUGGUAGUCGUUGAGCUCCGACGGGCGUCCCUUCUUAGGCACGGGAACGAUGCAGGAUGUCUUCCACAGGGAGGGAACCUUCCCUAAGCAAAGGCUGAGGUUGAAGACGUGCUGGAGAGGGGCUCCCAGUUCAGCAGCACAGGCACAGAGGAGUCUGGGGGGAGACCUGGUCCAGGCCAACCGCCUUCCUGGGACGCAGCUUCCUUAGUGCCGUCAUCACCUGGUCAGCACUGAUGAGUGGGGGGUUGGAGGUGUCGGAUGAGGCAGGGGGUCCAGGUUGAGAGGGGGGAGAGGUGGGGGGAGGGGAGGAGGCAUGGUGGUGGCUCAGAAGUUCAGGGGACUGGAGGGAGGCAAGGGGCUGGGAAGGGGAGCUGGCAGUGGGGGCAGGGGAGCUAAACCUGUUGAAGAAGGUGUCAAGUUCAUCAGCUUGCUCCGCAUUCAUUCUCACUGCACUACUCCUCUUGUUGUACUCUGUGAUGGCCUUCAUCCCAUUCCAGACCUCUCGCAUCUGGUUGUUACUGAGCUGGUUCUCCAGCUUCUUCCUCUAGGCCUCCUUAGCCUUCCUCAGACAGAGUCUUAGGUCAUGUUGAGCCUCCCUCAUCUCCUCUUUGUCCUUGCUCAUGAACGCCAUCUUCUUCCUGUUCAGGACAGUCUUGACCUCCUUGGUCACCCAGGGUUUGUUAUUGGUAAAGCAUCUGACUGUCCAGAAGUUCAGGUAGUCUCCCCAUGCGAGCCCACUAUUACAUCCCAGUCUGUUGUCUAGAAGCAGUCCCUGAGAGACUCCUCAUCUUCAGGGGACCACCUCCUGACGUAAUAGGCAGCCUCUUCACCAGGGGAAUGUAGGUGGGCUUGAGUAGCACAAGGUUGUGGUCUGAUCUUCCCAACGGGGGGAGCGGAGUGGCUACAUAUGCCUCCUUAGCAUUGGUGUAGAACAAAUCAAUGGUUCUGUUCUGUCCUGGUGUCUUCCUGGUGUUCUUCCUGGCAGUCUACACACUGGUGGAGUGCUGGUAGUGUGGUACCCAGGGUGACGAGGUUGAAGUCUCCAGAUAUGAUGAGCAGAGCCUCCGGGUGCUGGGUCUGAAGAGCCGAGGUGGUGGUGAAGAUGGACUCCAGUGCAGUGUCUGGGUGUGCCCUCGGUGGAAUGAAAUGCCACAGUGCGGGUUGCACCACCCUGUGCUGCGCCGCUGGCGGGCACAAAAACAGAGCUCUCAGGCUCUCACUCUGACACCUCUUCACACAGAGAUAUUUUUUAGUGCCUCUGAAGUGUGUUGUGUUUACUUUCAAUUCUCAAUCAAAGUUUAGACUCUAAUGUUCACAGAACUGGGUCGGAUGUCUGUUUUAGUGUAAAUGUUACCUUUUAUGUCGAUUUUAAUCUGUUUUGGUGUCUCUGUCUGGACAUUUAAAUUUUGCGACCACUACCGAAUCAAAGCUUUGCAGUGUAGCGGAGAAAGGCUCCGUACGGCCAUGUCUGUAGUCAUUUGAAAGGGGAGAAGCUACUGAAUCGAUUGGUAUCAAUCUUUCCAAAUGACUACA
rnacentral:lncRNA from 1 species